rnacentral:rRNA from 1 species
GACGAACCGUGCGAACGUUGUUCGGAAUCACUGGGCUUAAAGGGCGCGUAGGCGGGGUGGCAAGUCUGUGGUGAAAUCCUCCGGCUCAACCGGAGAACUGCCGUGGAUACUGCCAUUCUCGAGGGGUGUAGGGGCAUGUGGAACUCAGGGUGGAGCGGUGAAAUGCGUAGAUAUCCUGAGGAACGCCGGUGGCGAAAGCGACGUGCUGGACACCUACUGACGCUGAGGCGCGAAAGCCAGGGGAGCGAACGGG